rnacentral:misc_RNA from 1 species
AAAAUGCGAUAAGUAAUGUGAAUUGCAGAAUUCAGUGAAUCAUCGAAUCUUUGAACGCACAUUGCGCCCGCCAGUAUUCUGGCGGGCAUGCCUGUUCGAGCGUCAUUUCAACCCUCAAGCCCCCGGGUUUGGUGUUGGGGAUCGGGCUGCGGUUCUACCGCGUCCCGGCCCCGAAAUCUAGUGGCGGUCUCGCUGCAGCCUCCAUUGCGUAGUAGCUAACACCUCGCAACUGGAACGCAGCGCGGCCAAGCCGUUAAACCCCCAACUUCUGAAUGUUGACCUCGGAUCAGGUAGGAAUACCCGCUGAACUUAAGC